UGAACGCUGGCGGCGUGCUUAACACAUGCAAGUCGAACGAAGCACUGUUGAUAGAUUCUUCGGAUGAUAGAUACAGUGACUGAGUGGCGGACGGGUGAGUAACGCGUGGGUAACCUGCCUCAUACAGGGGGAUAACAGUUAGAAAUGACUGCUAAUACCGCAUAACAUGUACGGAUCGCAUGGUCUGUACAUCAAAGCUUUAUGUGCUGAAAGAUGGCCUCGCGUCUGAUUAGAUAGUUGGUGAGGUAACGGCUCACCAAGUCGACGAUCAGUAGCCGGUCUGAGAGGAUGAACGGCCACAUUGGGACUGAGAUACGGCCCAGACUCCUACGGGAGGCAGCAGUGGGGAAUAUUGGGCAAUGGGGGAAACCCUGACCCAGCAACGCCGCGUGAAGGAAGAAGGCCUUCGGGUUGUAAACUUCUUUUAGUAGGGACGAAGAACGUGACGGUACCUACAGAAAAGCAACGGCUAACUACGUG
rnacentral:rRNA from 1 species